rnacentral:rRNA from 1 species
UACGAAGGGGGCUAGCGUUGUUCGGAAUUACUGGGCGUAAAGGGCGCGUAGGCGGUGCCUCAAGUCAGGCGUGAAAGCCCCGGGCUCAACCUCGGGCCUGCAGUCGAUACGGGCAAACUAGAGUACUGCAGGGGAGACUGGAAUUCCUGGUGUAGCGGUGAAAUGCGCAGAUAUCAGGAGGAACACCGGUGGCGAAGGCGGGUCUCUGGGCAGUAACUGACGCUGAGGCGCGAAAGCUAGGGGAGCGAACGGG